UACAGAGGGUGCGAGCGUUGUCCGGAAUCACUGGGCGUAAGGGCGCGUAGGUGGCCCGACAAGUCAGUGGUGAAAGUUCGACGCUUAACGUCGAAUCGGCCACUGAUACUGUUGGGCUGGAGCACUGUAGAGGCUCAUGGAAUUCCGGGUGUAGCGGUGGAAUGCGUAGAGAUCCGGAAGAACACCGGUGGCGAAGGCGGUGAGCUGGGCAGUUGCUGACACUGAGGCGCGACAGCGUGGGGAGCAAACAGG
rnacentral:rRNA from 1 species